UCCAGUUCAGAGAUCUAUUAGAAUCUUUGAUGUGUCGCAGAUGCCGCACUAACUAGUCCGUGCGCCUAUGUCAUAUUUAUUGUUGCAUGAUAUAUAUGUUUAAAUGGCAAAAUUUUAUAUUGUCUAUCUAUGAAAUCAUUUUAAAUAUACGUAAAACCCCAUGUUUUAUACUAUUUUUUAUUUUUCUUUCGAAAAUGUCAAUUUUUAGAAAGAAAAUAAUAUCACAAGAAAAUAAUAUCAAAAAAUUGACCGCGGACUAAAAUCCAAGCAUCGAACAAAAUAUUUUAAACACUUCCAGCACUCACAGACUUGUCACCUCUUUUUAGCCAGUCUAUUAAACAAAGAUAAAACACCUGCGUUUUGACAAUUCCUACUUUAGGCUGUGCAAGUGAUUGUGUAUCUCUCUCUAUCCCACUGAAUUUAAGAAUUACGGGGCCGUACCCAAAUAAAUUUUUGGACCGUUUUUGUAUUAUUUUCGUCGUGUUUUUAAAGAGAUCUUUACGGAUGGGUCUAUCGCCUUUAAAAUAUGUUGGAUGGGUCUAUCACCUUUAAUAGUUGGGAGGGGGGCCAUGUGAUAUUAUUUGAUGUGUUUUGCCGGUUAUGCUUUUUACACGUUUAUGAAAGUAAAGAAUUUAGAAUUUGGCCUGUAUUCCUGUAAAUUUUUUGCAGUUUUUACUGUGAGGAACAGUGUUUUUUUAUUUGUGUUUGUGGAUUUGUUUUGGUAUUAUACCUAAAGACCUUAAAAUGUUUCGACCCUGGAAAAAUAGGCAGGAAAAUUUGGCAAAUGAAGAGGAAAGUGUUUGUGCGGGCUUAUGGAGACCGUGGGUGUACAAGAAAGACAAUAACAUUUGUGAUAAAAACAAUAAGAGUUAUCUGGGCAGUGAUUUAGACUUACAUAGUUCUGAUAGUUCAUUCUAGUAUUGAGGAAGCAAAAAGAAGCAAGGGAAGUAGAAGCUACAGAAGAAAUCAAGCAGUUUUAAAAGAACAAAUUUAUCUAAAUAUCUAUAACAAUCUAAGGAAUGAUACUCAGUUCACAAAUGAUUGUAGUGCUUUGCAAGAAAUAGCGUUUUUAACAGGGGUUCCCUAUAGUACAAUAUGCCUGUAAAAAAAAGGAUUAAAGACAGAAUAAAAAGGAAACAUGCAAGACAAUCAAAGGGACUUGACAUGGAUAUUGCCAAAUUGCUAAGGAAAGGUGUGUAUUCUAAAUACAAAAACAAUGAGGUUCUGACCAUAGAGACACCUUAUCGGCAAGAGACAAACAUUUCUCAGUCUCAACCUUGCAGAGAUACCUGAUAAAACUUGGAUUUAAGCUUAAGAUGGUUAACAAAAGAGCUGCUGUAAUGGAAUUGUCAGGUGGUGUAUAGAAUAUUUGAGGAAAAUUAAAAAAAUUUGGGAGGAAGAAAGAUCCAUAUAUUAUUUAGCCGAAACAUGAUAUGAUACAUUUAUGAUUGAUGUAUGAUUUCCAUUCUCUGGGAAAAAGUCCCUUUUUUGCCAUACUUACUGCCCCUGUUGUCCUUCAGUGAUACAAUAAAGACUGCUUCUUCCACCAUUCUCUGGGAAAAACCCUUUUUUGCUAUGCUUACUACCCCUGUUGUCCUUCAGCAACACAAUGAAGACUGCUUCUUCCUCCAUUCUCUGGAAAAAAGUCCCUUUUUUGCCAUACUUACUGCCCCUGUUUGUCCUUCAGCGACACAAUAAAGUAUAUAUAAUGUAAUGCUUUAGAAUCCAUAUGCUGAUGUGCGAGAUGAAGUUGGAAUCCAUGCCGGCAACAGAGAAACUGUUUCCUUCCUUAAUGGAAGAAACUUCUAAAGAACAAUGGCAAAAAAACAGAAUUUACAAAAUUUGUAUUAACUUUUUGGGCCAGAUUCAAAAGAGUGGUUAAAUUUAUAAAAGUAUUUAGUAUCCUCACUGUAGUUUUAGGAUCCAGUAUACUUAAAAUGUAGUGUUUUGUAUAAGAUUUUUAGUUUUUAGUAUAAGCAUUUAUUUUUGUUAAUUUUUAUCUAAUCUCUCCUAAUAUGCAUAAUAACUAAAUACGAGGCAAACAAAUUAAUAAAUA
rnacentral:lncRNA from 1 species